CAGCAGCCGCGGUAAUACGUAGGGUGCAAGCGUUAAUCGGAAUUACUGGGCGUAAAGCGUGCGCAGGCGGUUCUAUAAGACAGAUGUGAAAUCCCCGGGCUCAACCUGGGAACUGCAUUUGUGACUGUAGAGCUGGAGUACGGCAGAGGGGGAUGGAAUUCCGCGUGUAGCAGUGAAAUGCGUAGAUAUGCGGAGGAACACCGAUGGCGAAGGCAAUCCCCUGGGCCUGUACUGACGCUCAUGCACGAAAGCGUGGGGAGCGAACAGGAUUAGAUACCCCAGUAGUCCCUGUCUCUUAUAC
rnacentral:rRNA from 1 species